UACGUAGGUGGCAAGCGUUGUCCGGAUUUAUUGGGCGUAAAGGGAGCGCAGGUGGUUUCUUAAGUCUGAUGUGAAAGCCCACGGCUUAACCGUGGAGGGUCAUUGGAAACUGGGGAACUUGAGUGCAGAAGAGGAAAGUGGAAUUCCAAGUGUAGCGGUGGAAUGCGUAGAUAUUUGGAGGAACACCAGUGGCGAAGGCGACUUUCUGGUCUGUAACUGACACUGAGGCUCGAAAGCGUGGGGAGCGAACAGGAUUAGAUUCCCCGGUAGUCCCUGAGCGGG
rnacentral:rRNA from 1 species